UAACUAUUGCCAAUAAACAUCAGGGCCCAUAUCCACGAAAGUGUCUAAGGCCGAUGCUACUUAAGCACAAAAUCAUACAUAGCUUAUGGUCAACGAGUUAGGGCCGUCGUAACUUAUCGUGCUUAGACCAUUCUCUGUUGAUGUCGCUCGUCUCGCUAGAACGCACAGCGAGCAAAAUUUCGACAUGAAUCAUGUUAAAUAAAACAUAGUUAUACUUACAUUUUCUUUGUUUUUUAUUUUAAUAAUUUUACAAUACAAUUUUUGACCAAAUAACACGGAGUGAAUGACAGUAUUUCUUGGAAAAGAAAAAUAUUAAAAUACAUUCCCGUUGGAAACGAGAAUUUGUGUAAACAAACAGUCACCAGCUCAGUCACCCUGUACAACCUGCCUUCGGCGUUGUGUGUUCCAACUCUACCAGAUCUCCUCCUGUCCUACAAUACCAGUUGUCCAACGAUGGAAGCCACUCCACCCAGUAAACGGAAUAGGAAGGCAAACUGGGGGGAGAAAGAAACUUUCCGCCUGGCAGAUUUGUACAUGGAUGAGGUACAAACCUUGAAGUCCAGCUUCAAGAUGCCGGGAGUUUCUAACAGGAAGAAACAUGAGAUAUGGGAACAAAUAGCCGAGGAGUUGAAUAACUCAUUCAACAACUACAGGACCUCGGCUGAAGUGAAGAAACGCUGGUUCUUCAUAAGUUCCCGGUCUCGGCAAAAAAUCCAGCGAUUCCGUGAGGAACGGAAUAGGACAGGUGGUGGUCCUCCUCCCCCUCCACUGGAUCCCAUUGACGAACUAAUUGAGGAUAUU